rnacentral:ncRNA from 2 species
AUAGUUUUAUAUACAGUGUCUUGUAUAUGCCCGGGAUAAUGGCCUGGGCGUCUCUAUCCGACUUCCGAAAUGUCAGGGCUACAAAGGCAGUUUAUUUUUGC